GUUAAACUGCAAGUAUUGCAUGUCAUGUAACCUUGCUAUCAUAUGCAAAGAGUGUGUGUCUACAAGGGUCUCAUUGCACAUGAUAGUGGGGCUACAUGUUAUUGUACUGACGGCAAUGUAUCA
rnacentral:precursor_RNA from 14 species